rnacentral:lncRNA from 13 species
AUUGCUGAACUCUUCAUCUCCGAAAAUAAUUACGGCAAGGCCCUGCAGUUCAUUCAGGCUGAGAAGAUGUUCUACGAGGUUUCUCUAAUUGAGCUCACUGCUGUUCAGGGGAGCACAGGCAAGUAUAUUUACAUCUGUAAAAUGGGGGCAUUAAGGUGGCAUCCACAAGUGCAGCUUCUCACCAUCUGACAACUAUGUCAGAAGGGGACCAUCGUCAGUAGCGUUUUGUCGUGGCUCUGGGUUGGCCACCCACUCAUUGCCCACCAUUGUGCAUCAGUACAAGGAGUGACGAAGGAUGCCGUUUAAGUACUAUGAGGGUGGUUGAUGAAGCAAUUGGACUCAGGUGAGUGAGGCAGGCUUUUGGCUAAUGAAGAUUGGAUGCAGGUGAGCAAAUUGGCAUGGGUACUGCUCUACCAUAUAUGGAUUUCCUUGCCGCGCUGCCGCCUUCCAUUGUGGAUGUCUGGACCCAUAUAUGGAGUUCCUGCUACAGGGCCGCAUUCCAAUAUGAAUUAUCGUUAUCCAUGUAUGGAAUUCUGCAUUCCAAUAUGAGAAGUCUGAGUCCAUAUAUGGAGUUCCUGCUCUGCUCCAAGGCUGCAUUCCAAUACAGAAGAACAAGCACAUGUAUGGAAGUUCCUGUUGUGGAUUAGGCCCCCAGAAGGAGGCUUUGCUGGGCUCGUCUGGGACAGGAUGGGCAUCCCCAGAGGAGCUAUCGGAUCAGGCCUCCCAGGCACAGCAUUUUGAGCGGCUGGCCCAGCUUUGCAUCAUGAGUAAAAGACCUCAUCUCGCUUUAGAGUACAGUGGGAAAGCCACUAAGAUCCAUCAGAGGGCCUUUGGCAGCGACCACCCCGUCACAGACAAGAGUCUGGAGCUGCUGGCCACCGUCUACGCAGAAAUUGGCAAAACAGAAUACUCAGAUUCCCUAGGCCAGUGUGUGUCAGCGCUUUCCAAGAGGUUUGCUACUGCCGAGUCCUUCAGAGACACACUCAACAACGGUCUUUCCCAUUCCCAUUCCCACCGGGAUAAACGCUCUGAGGUCCGGCACAGGAAAGACCCCCGCCCACUGUUGGACACACCAAAACCCAAGGUCACCAACGGUAAAAUCCCCAUGUCCAUACUGAAGAGAUCUGGCUCAGGAUCAGACUCAGAGCCCAGCCACAGACGGAAAGGCGAGCGGCGGGUCCGGUUCAGGGAGCCUGAAACCACUGUGCAUGCCUAUGACACAUCACCGCCCAGCCCCCACCUGGCCCUGUUCACUUGCCUGUUCCUGCUGAUGUCACUGCUGGGCGUGGCCAUGUUCUGCACGGACCGCCGGCGCCCACAGCGUGUCUGUGAGGAGCUGGAGGCCUCGCUGGCUGUCUACCUGAUACACAUAAAACAGCUGCUGUGGGGCUGCUGGAUCUGGCUAACCAUGCAGUGACUGGGACCCACCAGAGGGGGAGGCAUGGAGGAUUCGCUCUCUUCAUUACAUGUUCGUUGAGGUGCCCUACCUAGCCUGGUCCCGAGCACCUCAGUCAUACACACGGACUAUCUAUCUAUGGUGUUGAGAUGUGCACCCCUACUGCUAUGCUCACACCCAUAUAUGGAGAAAUGUGUAAUCCCAGAGAUAUUUAGCCUCCAUGUCUGUAUACUGGUGGUGGGUACGCUACCAUGUUCGUUUUGUUGAUAAGACAUUUUGCACAUCAGCAAUGUCGAUGCUCACUGGUAUGCUCACUUAAUUGCUACAAUAAUUGACAUGUUCCUUUCUUGGCACAAUCUAUUGUGAGUGAAUGUUUCAUGGAAUGCCAAAUUAAUUAUAUUUAUUUAAUUACAAUGCUAUGUCAUUUGUGUACUUAAAAGCUAGCUACAGAUAUGAAUGUGUAUAUACCGUAUACUAAGGACUGUCACAAUAUUACGCCUUGUUAUUGCACAUAAUUGAAUGUAUAAAGUGUGAAAAACUGCUUAGAGUUGGCACAAAACACCCUUACCGUCUAAAAUAAGGAUUAUGGAUUGAGUCAAGCACAAUGUGACAACCUUCUGAAAAGGAUUGCUGACACAGGCACAGGACUGCUUCACUUCACAGUGCCAGGUUAAACUAGCAAAUUGACAAAGCCAUCUUUCUUUUACAGCAUAAAUACUGCAGUCUGGCGUUUCCUACCUUGGUCCUUGGGACCCCAAGAGGUGCACGUUUUGUUUUUUUGCCCUAACACUACACAGCUGAUUCAAAUGAUCAAAGCUUGAUGAUUAGUUGAUUAUUUGAAUCGGCUGUGUAGUGCUAGGGCAAAAUCCAAAACGUGCACCCCUUGGGAUCCCGAGGACCGAGUUUGGAAAACCCUGUUGUAGUCGGACUAUUUUUUUUAGGUCAGAUCAGUUUUGGGUUCCAAGUUGGGACAAAGAUGAUAAGACAUUCACCACAAUAAUAUGAAUACUCACUUUCCUGGAAAUGUACUCAAAUUCAAUGAGUACUUAUGAUUUUGACAGUGUACCUCUUGGUAAAUGCUAAAAUGCCUCAAAUAAUAUCCUCUCUCCUCUAAAUUGUAUUUAUUCUUCCAUACUGCAUAUCUGCAUCUACUCAAAUAUCCAAUACUUUCAUUUUCUUUAGAGUACAUUUUGUAAGGGCUUUUGUUACAUUUCUAUUUUUUGAUUGUGCCAAUAUUCAGAUUUGAAUCUUGAUGUCAAAUGCUUUUAAAGUUAAGGAUUAUUUGGGAAUUGAAAAGUACCUUAAAUUAGAGCAAAUGUUAAUGAUGUAAAGAAAGGAAUCUACAUGAAUUGUACAGUCCAAUGGUCUGUGGUAAGAUGCAGCAACAUUAUGACACUAAUUGAAUCAUCACUGUGGGACCUUCAGUAAUUGGAACCAUUCAAAUAUAGAAAAUUAAAGUCUCUUCUAUAAACAGGUCGAGCUUUAAAGGACUAAUGUGAUGCUUAUGUAUGUGAUGCUUAUCAUAUCAUAUCAUACCUCUUGAUCCGAGCAAUAAAACACAAGACGUUGUUUCCACUGAUACAUAUUCUUUAAACAGUAUAACAGGUUUCAGGGAACACAACAUAAGAAAGAGUCGGUGUUGGAAAAAUCUGAGCAAUAUGAUGCAACCAAUGUCUGAAUGGAGGAGCUACUGAGACUGAAGGUUCCCUUUGCACCAUCAAACGGAACUACUAUCGUUAGCAAUACAAAUACCCAGCAAGUCAACAUGGCUUGUUUCUGCACAUUUUGGUUAGUAGCU